CUUCCCCAGCUCUCCUCCUCCUCCUUCGCCUCCUCCUCCUCCACUCCCCCCCUUUAUUACCCUUUGUGUCAUCCUCCACAGCUCCAGGGAAGGCACUCAAAAGUGGGGGGCAGGAAAGGUUGAGAGCACAAAUGAACAAAGAAGAAUAUGCAACAAAAACUAUGAACAUUGAGGAUGGGAGUUUCUGCAUGUGGGAACUAGAUAUUGAAGCUUUAUGGUUUACAGACAAGAUCUUUAGAAGUUAGACACUCAAGGACCAAGAAAAUAAAUACAAGAAACGAAGAGCACAAACUAUUUUCUUCAUCAGUACAUAGAAUCCUGAUAUUUCUCUAAUUCCAUCAGACACAGAGGAAUGACCACCUUGGUAGAUGGCCACAGAGGAUGUCAACAAUUUUUUG